rnacentral:tRNA from 1 species
ACUAUUUUGGCAGAAAUAAUGCGUUGAAUUUAGAUUUCAUUUAUGUAGAUUGAUUUUAUAAAUAGUA